rnacentral:pre_miRNA from 1 species
AUCGACGGUUGAAGGGGAGAGUUGUAAAAUGAAAUCAUCAAGGUAUUGGCGCGCCUCAAUUUAAAGACGUGGUUAAAUGGGCAUGAUUAGCCAUGUAUUUUCAUUGAGCCGCGUCAAUAUCUCCUUAAUUAUUUUGUAACUCUCUCCUCUAUAUCCUCGCCUUCGGUAUGCAGCUGCUCCUCGAUACAUAUGAGGAUUCAGAAACAGACAAAGGCGGUAGAAGUAAUCUUCAUCAAUAUUAUUGAAGCAGGAAACAUAACGGCAAGUUUUAAGACCCGUUUGGGGCAUGUGGGGUCUCAUUUUGAUGUUAAUGAAGUGAAAACUUGUAUUUUCCCUCAAACAUUCACUCACUCCAGGCCGGCAGGAACAAC